rnacentral:rRNA from 1 species
UGAACGCUGGCGGCGUGCCUAAUACAUGCAAGUCGAGCGAACGGACGCGAAGCUUGCUUCUCUGAUGUUAGCGGCGGACGGGUGAGUAACACGUGGAUAACCUACCUAUAAGACUGGGAUGACUUCGGGAAACCGGAGCUAAUACCGGAUGAUAUUUUGAACCGCAUGGUUCAAAAGUGAAAGACGGUCUUGCUGUCACUUAUAGAUGGAUCCGCGCUGCAUUAGCUAGUUGGUAAGGUAACGGCUUACCAAGGCAACGAUGCAUAGCCGACCUGAGAGGGUGAUCGGCCACACUGGAACUGAGACACGGUCCAGACUCCUACGGGAGGCAGCAGUAGGGAAUCUUCCGCAAUGGGCGAAAGCCUGACGGAGCAACGCCGCGUGAGUGAUGAAGGUCUUCGGAUCGUAAAACUCUGUUAUUAGGGAAGAACAUAUGUGUAAGUAACUGUGCACAUCUUGACGGUACCUAAUCAGAAAGCCACGGCUAACUACGUG